ACGGCUCAGUAACACGUGGAUAACCUACCCUUAGGACUGGGAUAACCCUGGGAAACUGGGGCUAAUACUGGAUUGGUGGAAUUUCCUGUAAUGGUGUUUCAUUUAAAUGUUUUUUUUUCGCCUAAGGAUGGGUCUGCGGCAGAUUAGGUAGUUGGUAAGGUAAUGGCUUACCAAGCCGAUAAUCUGUACGGGUUGUGAGAGCAAGAGCCCGGAGAUGGAACCUGAGACAAGGUUCCAGGCCCUACGGGGUGCAGCAGGCGCGAAACCUCCGCAAUGUGAGAAAUCGCGACGGGGGGAUCCCAAGUGCCAUUCUUAACGGGAUGGCUUUUCAUUAGUGUAAAGAGCUUUUGGAAUAAGAGCUGGGCAAGACCGGUGCCAGCCGCCGCGGUAACACCGGCAGCUCUAGUGGUAACAAUUUUUAUUGGGCCUAAAGCGUCCGUAGCCGGUUUAAUAAGUCUCUGGUGAAAUCCUGCAGCUUAACUGUGGGAAUUGCUGGAGAUACUAUUAGACUUGAGACCGGGAGAGGUUAGAGGUACUCCCAGGGUAGAGGUGAAAUUCUGUAAUCCUGGGAGGACCGCCUGUUGCGAAGGCGUCUAACUGGAACGGUUCUGACGGUGAGGGGACGAAAGUUAGGGGCGCGAACCGGAUUAGAUACCCGGGUAGUCCUAACUGUAAACGAUGCGGGACUUGGUGUUGGGGUGGCUUUGAGCUGCUUCAGUGCCGAAGGGAAGCUGUUA
rnacentral:rRNA from 1 species